UCCUGGCUAGCUCAGCUGGUAGAGCGCUCCACUGGAAAUUGAAAGGUCCCUGGUUCAAUGCCAAGACCAGGCA
rnacentral:tRNA from 1 species